CAGCGCUGGCCUCCUGUUGAUGCCUGCUUUCAGAGUAUUGCUAAAUACCUCUGAUUUGGCAAUUCUGUCACCCUUUCUGCACAACCAUUUGAUUCCUGGGGACUCAAAAAAAUGAUCUCCGCUUCUAGGAUUUUCUUCCCAGCCACUGACACCCAUCCUGGGAGUUGUGAUGCUGAAUCUGUCCACCACAACACUGCCUGAGUGAUCGAACACGCAAGCCUGAUAUUGUCAACCCCACUUUAAAUUCUUCUUUGGCUUCUACUGCAUUUUGGGGAAAUGACCCUCACCUCCAGCCCAGCAUACAAGGUUCAUCUCCACCUGGAUGCAUUUAAUAAAAGCAGACCAAAGCUACUGAAGUUCUCACUCUGCAAAGGCAGCAAAAACAAAGAAUACAAUGUUAUUCAAUCAAUGAUGUGGAUCGAUAGAGCCUUAAAUCUGGAGUCUGAAGACCGAGAACAAUAUCUAGGUUUCAAAAGGACACAGAAUGUGUUCCAACUUCCCUCUGAUACAGUUCUAAAUUAAGCGCCGUGGAAGGAAAUUUAGAUGAAACUUCUUGGGUGCUUUUGCAAAAAAGUUACCCACAAGGCUGUAUGCAUGACUGGAAAUGAGGUGGCUUCAGAAAUGCAGCAGGCAUUGGGCAAGGACUGUGAGAAACAGAGAUGAACCAGGGCGCCUAGCCUCAACAGGCUCACAAAAUGGGAUCCUCUUACAAUGGGCCCAAUGUCAUAUUCGCAGUGAGAAAUAACAGGAAAUCAUUGUACGUGAAACCACUGAGAAGGCUUUCCAGGGAGCAUGUGCUUUCAAGGGCGGAUGGAGUGAGGGCACAUGAGGAAACUCUCGCAGCCAGAGGGAACAGAGCAUGCAAAGGGAUUAAGAACUUGUCUGGUACGUUUGGGGAAGAGCCACAGAAUCAGGGGGACUGGAAUCAACCAUGCAGGAAGAGAGUCUGUGGUAACCAAGAUGAGAAAGUUGGCUGAGUCCGGAGCUGAAGGAAGGCCCUCAGGAACCAGGCUCAGUAGGAGAGCCCAGGUGAGCAGGGACCUGUCAACGCUUCCAAAUGGUGAAGGUGGUUUGUUCUGACUGGAGGUUUGGUUUCCAUAACCUGCCACAUACACUGUCUCCAAACAAUUGUACGGCCGUAAAUUUCCAGGGUGGCCCAGUGAAUGGAGUCCAUGAAAUAAACAAUAGGAAAUCUUUGUCAGCUGAUUUGCACAAAUUUACACAAAUACGUUGUUGUGCUUUAGUUGAGUAGAUGCUAGGAAACACGCAGAACAAAAAUAUGAGUUCCUGGGGCAUUUUCUCAUCACGUACAAAAAGAAUCACCUGAAAGCUUAUUUUCAGAGAAACCAAAUGUGGGACCCAGGGCUCUGAAUUUCUGGCUCCUAGAGAAUCAGGA